UACUGUGUAGGCGAGCCGGAUCAAAGAGUCGCUUACACAAACAUAAAAUCUCGCCCAAUGAAGACCAUAGCUCAGUCUGUGACGUGAUUUCAGAACAACACCACUGACAAACAAACUCCGGCGCUGGUGGCCUUUUCAAUUCUGGUACUAGAAGUAGACAGACGAAAUUACUUAUAGAAGUUUGAAGCCACACUGCCAGUGUAAAGGUGUCUGGAGGUUUUGACUUGAAGAUAAAUUUAAACGGAUUUCAUAACGUUAAACGACGUUAUCAACCCAAGAAGCAAUUUUAGAGUUAAAGGUCCAUCAGUAUGACAUACACAACGUUAUUCCUCUUCGCCUGCGUUUGUAUUAUAUACGUCACAGAGGGAAGAUCACUUGACCAAUCAGAACGGCGCUUGGUAGCACGCGGGCCAGGAAACCACGUGCGCAUUACGGGAUUGGCGGCUAUCUCUACGGGAAAAGGUCACAGGUCACAGAAGACGAUCUUAUGCGAACAGUUUCAAGGCAAUACAUGACACUACAAGAGGCUGCUGACAUCAUGCAGAAGGACCACGCUUUUGCCAUGCUGGUAGCCAAAACAUUGGAUACUGACGGUGAUGGCUACGUGCAAGUAACGGAUCUACUCUAAUGACGUCAUGAGUUACUGACGUCACGAAUCAAGGACCCCUGCGUGCCUUUAAUUGCCCUUAUGUGUUUAUGUCAUAUCUACGUGCUAUGCUCUUGCUAUGUCAUGAGAACAGUACCAUCUGAUACACUCUACUGCUCUUAAUUAAGAAAGAACAUUUACUCGAAUGAUCCAACAACUGAUAAUAUUGCAAAGGCAUAGCUGAAAAGUUUUCAAAGGCAGAGCUGAAAAUAUUUUGGACUGGACGCAUCUGGCAAAACGUAACACAUGCAGUCGUAAUAAAAUUCACUUCGCUCGGAAUUCCGUUGUCUCUAGGCUACUCAUUAUAACGGUUAGAUCAAGGCCUACGGUUGUGUACAUAUACAAAUCCCCCAUACAUAGGGGUCAAAUGCAAUAUUCUUUUAUUAUACAAAGUGUAUUUCCAAUUCAAGCAUUUAUAAAUAACUAACAUGUGGAAAUAUAGGAAAUAAUUCUUCAUUUACUUCUAAUACUUCUAUCUGCAGCAUUUGAGAAAAGUAUGUUUAAAACAUUUAUUUUUCUUUUUAAGAACCAAAAUAAAACAUUUAUUUGAAAUAUUA